GACAGCUAGCUAAAAAAUAACAAAUUCAGAUAAAACAAAAACAAUCACUGAAUCAUUGGCCAAUGAUAUAGAGCUUCUAGAAUCUUCAUCCAAUCAUCCCAUGUGUUGAUAUUCCUCUGUGUAACUGUUUUGCCACCUCAUUGAAUUCCUCUCAUUUCUUUCAUCAGCUGACUGUAAUUGUGAGUAGCUCAGGUGGCAUGCCACUGUGUCAUUGAGGUCAUCAGUUGACUGGCUGAGAUCAUGGCUGCCAUGGCUGCUAUUUUCAACACCCUCUCUCAAACACAAGGUUUUGUCAAACACCUUGAGUUUGCUUCUGAAGCAGCUAAAUUUGUAAUAAGGUAACGGCUUAGUUAGAACAUCAGCUAUUUGAUCCCUGCCUGCAACAAAACUGAUUUCCAUUUCACCUCUAGCUACCUUAUCCCUGAUAAAAUGUAGGUCUAUCUCAAAGUGUUUAGUCUUUGAAUGAAAAACAGGAUUGGUAGCUAUUGCUGCUGCACUUGUGCUAUCACUUAAGAUUGUUGGUGUUUUUUGCAUCUCUAGUUUCAGCUCACUUAGUAAGGAGCUAAUCCAUGUAAUUUCUGCAGCACAGAGGGCCAUUGCUCUGUAUUCUGAUUCAGCCGUAGAUCUAGCAACCAAACCUUGCUUUCUUGAACUCCAGGCAAUGAGAUUUCCACCCAGAAAUACACAAUAGCCACUGAUGGACCUCCUGUCAUCCAAAUCAUUUUCCCAGUCUGCAUCUGUGUAAGCCACCAGAUCAAAAUACUCUGACUUCUUGAAUUUCAGACACAUGUUCAUGGUGUUUUUAAGAUACCUCAAUACUCUUUUGCAUGCUAUCCAGUGAGGUUGCCUACGAUCUGACAUGUAUUGGCUGAGCUUGUUCACUGAGUAAGCAAGCUCAGGCCUUGUGAGUGUUGCAUACUGCAGGCUGCCUAUAACACUUCGAUACAGUGUGGGAUCAUGAAACUUUUCUCCUUCAUUCUUCUUCAGCUUUUCUGUGGUACUGAAAGGUGAUUCAAUUCCCUUACAGUCACUCAUUUCUGUUUUGGCAAGCAAAUCUUGAAUAUACUUGGUUUGAGACAGCAAAAUGGCAUUUUGUUUUCUGUUUACCUGAAUCCCCAGAAAGAAGUUUAGCUCUCCCAAAUCCUUUAAGGCAAAGGUCCUAUUUAAGUUGCUAACCAGCUCUUCAAUACUACCACUGUUAUCACUAGUAAUAGUAAUGUCAUCAACAUAAAUAAGCAAUAUAACUAUCUUAGAUUUAGUUUUUCUGUAGAACAAUGAGGUAUCAUCACACUUAGAAUUUUCAAAUCCCCAAGAGUUUAAGGCACCCUUCAGUUUGUCAAACCAUGCCCUGGGGGCUUGUCUCAAGCCAUACAGUGCUUUCUUUAAUCUGCAUAUGUGAUUGGGCUUGCUUUUGUUCACAAAACCUUCAGGCUGUGGCAUGUAAACCAUCUCUGUUAGCUCACCAUUCAAGAAAGCAUUGUUUAUGUCUACCUGCCUCAGCAACCAGUCAUUGUUCACUGCCAAAGUGAGGAUGAUUCUGAUUGUUGCAGCCUUGACAACUGGGCUGAAAGUCUCUGUGAAAUCAAUGCCUGGAAUUUACAAGAACCCCUUCACCACUAAUCUGGCCUUAUAUUUGUUUAUGGUUCCAUCUGGAUUUUCUUUAACUCUAUACACCCAUUUAUUUCCAAUCAGCUUGUGGCUUGAGUCAUUUGGUACCAAGGUCCAUGUUUCAUUUUUCAUCAAGGCAUUGUACUCAUCUUCCAUUGCCCUUUUCCAGCUUGGUUCUUUUAAAGCUUCUGAGGUGUUUGAGGGUAAUGCUAUGUGUGGUUGAGUAGUGAUUUGGUACAACUUUGGUUUAAAGAUCCCUGCUUUAGAUCUUGUUACCAUAGGAUGUGAUGGUAUAGCUUCUUUUGUGUUGGGUGCUGUGAUAGGGGAUGAAGGUUGGUCAUUUGCUUAAGGCUGGUGAUUUGAAUGAGGUGAGGAUAACUGAUUAUUUGAUAUCAUAUUAUUGCUUAAAUUCUAUUGUGUCUUACCUUGGUCAAGGUUUUGGGAUUGUUAUGUGUUUUCAGGAGCUUCAAGAGAGUGGCUUUGAUCAGCUGCUGACUGAGUGUUUUGAGGAGUAUCAAGGAAGAAUGACACGACCUGAAAUUUUUCUAAAAGAUUAAGGAAGACAUCCUGACUUGUGGACUCUUCCCUGCUGAACUUGGGGUCAUUAGAAAAAGGGAAUGAGCUUUCAUUGAACCUGACACUUGCAGACACAUAUAUUCUACCUGAGUGAUGCAUGCAAACAUAUCCUUUGUGAGUUAGGCUUAUUCCUAGCAGUGUGCAUUUGGCAGUAUGGAAAUCAAACUUGUGCUUGUUAUAUGGUCUCAGAAAUGGAUAGCAUUCACAUCCAAACACUUUGAUUUGUGAGUAAUUUGGUUUGUGAUGGUAAAGCAUUUCAAAGGGGGUUUUGUUUCCAAUAACAGGUGAGGCUAAUCUGUUGAUAGUGUAGGUAGCAUAACUGAAGGCUUCUUGCCAGAAUUUUAAUGGCAUUUUAGCUUGUGCCAGCAAUGUGAGUCCAGUUUCUACCACAUGUCUGUGCUUUCUCUCAACCUUCCCAUUUUGUUCAUGUAAAUAAGGACAUGAUUGUCUCAAUAUAAUGCCCUCUUUGUCAAGGAAUGGUUUGAAUGGUUUAAACUCUCAUCCCAUGUCUGUCUGUAGUGCUUUAAUUUUCAGAUUCAGUUGAUUUUCAAUUUGGCUUUUGAAGGUGAUGAAUGUGUUGAGAGCUUGAGAUUUUGUUGCCAAAGGAAACAACCAGGUGUAUCUUGUCAUGUCAUCCACAAAAGAUAUGUAAUAUUUGUGUCCAUGAUUUGAAGGAAUUGGUGCUGGUCCCCAUAGGUCAGCAUGAAUCAGCUCUAGGGCUUUGCUGGUUUUAGUUUCUGUGCUUUUGAAAUUUUGCUUAGACAAUUUUCCAUACUGACAUGCACAACAAAAUGAAGGAACAGAAUUCUUGUUUAAUUUGAACUGAUUACAAGACAACAAAGUGCUUUUCAAGGCAGACUCAUUUGGAUGCCCUAGUCUGAGAUGCCAGAGAUCAAUAUCUUUCAAAACAUCAUUGCUUGACUCAUCAGUUUUAGAAGACUCAAAACAAACAUUAGCUAGCUUGACACCACUAGGAUUAAAUGACAACAUAGACACUGGAUUGCUGAUGCAACUUAUUGACUCAGACAUAAAAGAUGAAGACAAAACAGCAGCAUAAGGAGUUUUGUUCCCACUCAGGUGAGUUGGCAAGCACAGCAACUCAUAAAGCCCCUCUCUAGCCACUCCUUUCACCAGAAUUUUCCCUUGUCUCUUGUCCUUGAUAAAACACACAGAUUUUUGAAAUUCAAUGUCAAUAUCAUUGUCAUGUAAUAAUCUGGAAAUGCUAAUGAGGUUUUUAGUGAUGCUUGGCACAAAUAAUAUGUCAUUCAAGGCAAUGUGUUUAUGUGGAUUUGAAGUGGAAAGCAUAGAAUUACCAACAUGAGAGAUCAGGAGUUUUUCACCAUUUCCAACAGUUAAUUUUUCAUUACCUUGAUACUCAGAGUUGAUGUUUAUGUUACCAAGAGCAUUUGUCACAUGGUUUAUGGCACCACUGUCCAGGUACCAGGCUCCACUGCUUUGGCCAUCAGUUGUAGCCACAUAUGCACCUCUUGGUUCUCUCCUUUGGCUUGGUUGUGGCACAUAAUUCUUUUUGAAUCUGUGCCAGCAAUCAGCAGCUGUGUGUCCCAUUUUCCAGCAAAUUUGACAAGGCCCCUUUGGAUUUGAACCAUCCUCAUCACUCACAGCUUUACCUUUCCCUUUGUCCUGAGAGUUCUGAUUUCCCUGACCAGAUCCAUUUCCAGGGGUUCUGAAAACUAUUCCAGGCUGAUGUUGGUUUCCAGCCCUGGUGUGGUUAUUCCAAUUCCUUCUUCCAUUUCUUGCUUGUGCAUAGUUUGCCUCUAUAGUCCCUGAGUUUAAGUUAUGUUCAGUUCUGUUUUCUUGGCUGAGAAGCAUGCCAUAGACUUCAGAAUGUGAGGGACUUUCUUGCAUUGAGUUUAUGCUGGCUAUAACUGGGUCAUAUUCUGAUCCUAAACCAGCAAAUACACACAUGAUAAAGUCAUCAUCACUCAUGUUACUCCCUGCAGCCCUAAGAGCAUUCAAUAUGGACUUCAUUCUAGAGUAAUACUCAUGAAUAGUUAAUGAACCCUUUUUGGUGGUCUGGAUUUGUGUUCUGAGGUGUAAGAUUCUAGCUCUAGUUCUUGCACCAAACUGAUUGGAAAGAGUUGUCCACACCUCAAGAGAAGUGGAACAAUCCACCACAAUGCCUAAAACCUCCUCAGUCAGUGAAGAUAACAACCAACUCAGAAGAAUGUGGUCUUGUUUCUUCCAGACUUGGUAUUCUGGGUUGGGUGUGGUAAUUAUUGUUUGGUCUUGUCCAAGGUUUAUGAAGACUCUAGGAGGGCAGAUAUGACUGCCAUCUAUGAACCCCUCAAGCUCGUUUGCUCUAAUGCUGGAAAUCACUUGUGAUCUCCAGAGCAUGAAAUUGUUUUGAUUGAGCUUAAUGGGGGUUGUGAAUACAUAUGUGCUGCUAGUGAUGUGUUGAGUGGGUGAGGGUGUGUUGUGACUUGAACUUCGUUCAGUGUUUUGGUUUUCAUUUUGAUUCAAGUUGCCCAUCUGAUCAUUUUGAUUCACAUUUGCUUGUGUGCUGCUACUGCUUGCCAUAGCUUUAAAGAUGGCUCUGAUACCAACUUAAAAUUCUUAGAGAAUUGCUUUUUCUUAACAAGCAGAGCAGAGUAAACCAGAGAGCUUUCGUUUGCUGAAAAUAAAACUUGAAUUGAUUUCAUUGCUUACAGGCCAACGUAUAUAUACAUAAGAAAACAAAAUGACAGCUAGCUAAAAAAUAAUAAAUUCAGAUAAAACAAAAACAAUCACUGAAUCAUUGGCCAAUGAUAUAGAGCUUCUAGAAUCUUCAUCCAAUCAUCCCAUGUGCUGAUAUUCCUCUGUGUAACUGUUUUGCCACCUCAUUGAAUUCCUCUCAUUUCUUUCAUCAGCUGACUGUAAUUGUGAGUAGCUCAGGUGGCAUGCCACUGUGUCAUUGAGGUCAUCAGUUGACUGGCUGAGAUCAUGGCUGC
rnacentral:lncRNA from 1 species